rnacentral:rRNA from 1 species
UACGUAGGGUGCGAGCGUUGUCCGGAAUUAUUGGGCGUAAAGAGCUUGUAGGCGGUUUGUCGCGUCUGCCGUGAAAAUUCGGGGCUCAACCCCGAACUUGCGGUGGGUACGGGCAGACUAGAGUGUGGUAGGGGAGACUGGAAUUCCUGGUGUAGCGGUGAAAUGCGCAGAUAUCAGGAGGAACACCGAUGGCGAAGGCAGGUCUCUGGGCCACUACUGACGCUGAGAAGCGAAAGCAUGGGGAGCGAACAGG